rnacentral:rRNA from 1 species
GCCAGACUCCUACGGGAGGCAGCAGUGGGGGAUAUUGCACAAUGGGGGGAACCCUGAUGCAGCGACGCCGCGUGGGUGAAGAAGCGCCUCGGCGCGUAAAGCCCUGUCAGCAGGGAAGAAGGAGGACGGUACCUGACUAAGAAGCCCCGGCUAACUACGUGCCAGCAGCCGCGGUAAUACGUAGGGGGCAAGCGUUAUCCGGAAUUACUGGGUGUAAAGGGAGCGUAGGCGGGAUAUUAAGUUGAAUGUAUAAACUACCGGCUUAACCGAUAGAAGCGUUCAAAACUGAUAUUCUUGAGUGAAGUAGAGGCAGGCGGAAUUCCUAGUGUAGCGGUGAAAUGCGUAGAUAUUAGGAGGAACACCAGUGGCGAAGGCGGCCUGCUGGGCUUUAACUGACGCUGAGGCUCGAAAGCGUGGGUAGCAAACAGGAUUAGAUACCCCUGUAAA